GAAAAAGGUUUAUAUUAAUAUUGUAUUUAAUUAUAUAUUCAUAAUAUAAAUAUAUUUAAAAUAUUUAUUGUAGUAUUAUUAAGAGAAUGAAUUAUAGGAUUGAUAAAUUAUUAGUACUGUAAAGGAAUUAUGAAAUAAUAUGAAAUAAUUAUUUUGAAAAAGAAGAUUUGAUAUUUGUACCUUUGUGUAUCAGGGUUUAUCAAUAUAUAAUAUUAUUUAUUUUAUCCCGAAUUGAAAUGUGUAAAAAUGGAAUGUUAGUUAAUGUAAUAUUAUUAUUAAUAAUUUUAUUUUUGUAAUGAAAUGUUAUUCGUCUUUUAAGAUAUCUGGUUUUUCAAGAAAUUAAUUUAAUUUAUUUAUUAAAAGUAUUUAUCAUUUGUUUUAGUGAAGUUAUUUUUUGUAAAAAAUGUAUAAGGGGAUGAGCUCUUAUAUAAUAUUUAUAAUUUUUUUUAUAAAAUUUAAAAAGGUAGGCUUUAAAUUAGCUUUCAAAUUAAGGAUGUUAUAAUCUUUUUAAUAAGGAAGUGAUUUAUAAAAUUAAUUUAAUUUGUUUAUUGAAAUGUCAGGUUUAAUAAUAUAACUUGAGUAAUAAUGAUAAAAUUAGUAUAUAAAAUUUGUUUUUAUAAUAUUAUUUGUAAAUUUUUGAAAAGGAACUAGGCAAUUUAUUUAUCCGUCUGUUUAUCAAAAACAUUUCCUUUUGAUGUUAAUACAAGGUAGGGCCUGCCCACUGAAUAUUUUAAAGGGCCGCGGUAUUAUGACCGUGCAAAGGUAGCAUAAUCAUUAGUCUUUUAAUUGAAGGCUGGAAUGAAUGGUUUGACGAGGUAAAAACUGUCUCAUUAAAAUAGUUUGAAGUUAACUUUUAAGUGAAAAGGCUUAAAUGAGUGUAUAGGACGAGAAGACCCUAUAGAGUUUGAUAUGUGAUUAUAAAAUUUUUAUUUUAGUAGGAAUAGAAAAUUAUGUAAAGCAUAUUUUGUUGGGGCGAUGUAAAGAUAAAAUAAACUCUUUAUUUAUAAAACAUUGAUUUAUGGUUAAUUGAUCCAUUUAUAGUGAUCAGAAGAUUAAAUUACCUUAGGGAUAACAGCGUAAUUUUUUUUGAGAGUUCGUAUCAACAAGGAAGAUUGCGACCUCGAUGUUGGAUUAAGAGAUAUAAUUGAAUGUAGCAGUUUAAUUUAUAGGUCUGUUCGACCUUUAAAUUCUUACAUGAUCUGAGUUCAGACCGGCGUGAGCCAGGUCGGUUUCUAUCCUUAUAUUUUUUUUAUAAUUUAGUACGAAAGGACCAAUUAUUUUAAAUAUUUUCAUAAAUUAAGAUAAACAUUA
rnacentral:rRNA from 1 species